rnacentral:ncRNA from 2 species
UGAUGCGUGGCGGGAGAGCCCCGUCCUGAACCAAGGGCGGGCGCCGUAGGAGCAAUUCCUCCCCGGGAAACUCUCAGGCCCCCGUACCGCCACGAACAG